UCAGAAUUAUUGCUUCACACAAAAGAUCGCUCAUGAUACAUACUCUUUUAUCUUUAUAUCCACUUACUCUCCCCCAUUCCAUUUAUAUCCUCUACCCCACACACACCAUUUUUAUUAUAGUUGUCUUAAGUAUUUCCUCUACCUAUUGAGAAUCACAUUAGACAGUAUUAUAAUUUUUGAUUCAACUAUCAAAAUUUAGAAAACCCCAAAUAAAAUCUAUUGUUUUUAUCCUAUAUAUUUACCCUAUUGUUCUUCCUUUCUUCCUGAUGUUCCAGAAUUCCUUUCAGUUCAGAAAUCUCUCUUUACUCUCUUUUAGGGUAUGUCUGCUGGCCACAAAUUCUCUUAGUUUUCUUGUGUCUGAGAAUGACUUUAUUUUCUCUUCAUUCUUGAAAGAUAUUCCCAGUGAAUAUUGAAUUCUGGGUUGCCAGUUUUUUCUUUAAGCACUUGGCAAAUGUUAACAUUCCUUUCUGGCCUCUACAGUUUCUGAUGAGAAAUCUGUGAUCAUUUACAUUGUUUUCCCCUUAGACUGUUUUCUCUCUUGUUGCUUUCAAGAUUUUUCCUUGAGCUUUUGUUUUUGAGUGUUUGAUUAGGAUGUAUAUGGGCAUGGAUUUCUUUGUCUAUUUAUUACAAACAUAUUUCCAUUUCUGUUCCUGAGUGUAACUUCAAUAGCUGCUUUAUAAUCUUUGUUAAUACCAAUGUAUUGAUCAUUCUGAGAUGAAUUCUUAUUUACUGCCUUUUCUCUUGAAUAUGGACUACAUUUAGGUAAUUCUUUGUAUGUCCACCGAUUUUUAUUGUAUCCCAGAUAUUGUGAAUGGUUGAAGAGACUCUGGGUUCUGUUACAUUCCUCUGAAGAGUACUGACUAAGGCAGAUUGAAACUGUAAACUAUUUUACUUUGUAGCAAGCAGCAACUGAAGUCUCUGCUCAGUUCUUUUAGCCUUAGGUGGACUUCUUGGAAUCUGCCCAGGAAUAUAUAGUUCAGGGUCAGUCAGAGAUGUGAAUAAGGGUUUACAUGCAGAAUUUAAGGCUCUCCUUACAGGCUUUCUUCUUCCUAGGAUUCUCCCCCUUCUUUCACGCUGUUGUGGUCUCACUGAAUUUGUCCUCUCGUUCUUCAAUCAAGUAAAACUGAGAGUUUUCUACUUAGUUUCAGCCAGGGAUCGAACCCCAUCCUCAUGGAUACUAGUCAGUUUCAUUUCCACUGACCACAAUGGUAACUCCCCAGGUAGUUUUUUCAAAUAUUUUUUCCAGGAUUUUUAGUUGUUAUCUGCAGAAAAGUUUGUCCAAUAGAAGCUACUCCUCCAUUAUCAGAAAGCAGAACUUUGAAACUUUUUUUUUAAUAAGAAAUAUGGGCUUUAUUUAUUUAUAUUUGUUUUUACAGCUGCAUCUGUGGCAUACAGAAGUUCCUGGGCCAGGGAUCUAAUUGGAUUUGCAACUGCUGGCCUACACAACAGCCACACCAGAUCCAAGCUGCACCUGAGACCUACACCACAGCUUGCAGCAAUGCUGAAUUCUUAACCCAUUGAGUGAGGCACAGAUUGAACCUGAAUCCUCACAGACACUGUGUUGGGUCCUUUACCCGCUGAGCCACAACAGGAACUCAUGCAACAUUUUUAAUUCUAAUAGCUAACAUGAAUUUCCAAGACAGAGAAGAUAAUAUGCAGUAUUUUACUAACUGGUUUUGACCAGAGAGAUUUUAUUUGUUUGUUUUAAUGGAACAGCUGCAGAAUGACUGCUUUGCUCUGAGAAAAGCUGAGCGAAAGACAGCCUUAUUCAAGGCACACUUACAACUUCUUGCCAAAUACAGACCUUGCUUAUUAUCUACUUAGAUUUAAUGCUCACCUAAUUAAAUGCUAUAGGAAACAUACCUGCUUUAAAUGCCUUGCAAUUAAAGGUGAGAAUCUGACCUUUUUUAUAAGGUGAGAAUUGUAAGGGUGAGUGAUUGUCAUCUCCACUCAUAAUGUCUGAGCAUCUAGGUUUGUGUCAGUGGACAAGAGAAAAAUUAUGAAUAUGGGACUGUAUUCUGGCAGCUUAACACUUUAAGAUGGGAAUUCAGAUGAAAAUACAAAGAUGGUACAUGUAAUAUGUAUUAUGUGAAAGCAAAGCAAGUUUUGGUUUGUUUGUUUUUUGUUUUUUGUCUUUUCAUCUUUGGCAAGAUCCAACAAUAAGAGAGGACAUGGCACUUGGGGAGAUACUAAAUAACUUAGCAUGGUGGCAGUGGCAGUAGAUUGCUGGAGGAGAGAGGAGAGAGAAGAGGCUGGGGUGAUAAGCCAACGGCUGGGUCAGAAAGGCUUUGCAUGCCAUGCCAACCCUGGUACCAUUGAAAGACAUGGGGCUUUUUUGCCUUUUUAGGGCCCACCCGAGGCAUAUGGAGGUUCCCAGGCUAGGGUCGAAUCAGAGCUGACAGUCACAGCAACUCAGGAUCAGAACCCGCAACCUACUCCACGGCUCACAGCAACGCUGGAUCCUUAACCCACUGAGCAAGUCCAGGGAUCAAACCCGAGUCCUCAUGGAUAGUAGUCAGGUUCGUUAACCAAUGAGCUACUAUGGGAACUCUGGCAAAGCAGUUUUUACACCGACUGAAAGGAACUACUACUGACCAAUUCAUUACUUUUUUCCACACUAUCAACCCACUUAUAUUUUCCCAAUGGUUUUUUGAGCAUGGGAGGGGUGGUUUUUGUUUUUUAGGGCCAUACCCACGGCAUAGGGAAGUUCCCAGGCUAGGGUCAAUCAGAGCCACAGCUGCCAGCCUAUGCCACAGCUAUAGCCAUGCAGGAUAUAAGCCGUGUCUGUGACCUAUACCACAGCUCACAGCAAUGCCAGAUCCUUAACCCACUGGGCCGGGCCAGGGAUUGAACCAAAUCCUCAUGGAUACUAGUCAGGUUCAUAACUGCUGAGCCACAACAGGAACUCCCAACUUUUUAUUUUUUAAUUUAAACCAUAGAAUAACUGAAAACUGGUAUAAUAAAUACAUAUACCCUCUAACAGAUUCAAUAAUUAUUUACAUCUGCAUUUCCCAUAUUUGCUUUCACUCUGUCUCUCCUUUCCAUCCCCACCAGUUUGUGUGUGCAUGGGUGUUUUGUUUUGUUUUCAACGAAGUUCCAGGCCAGGGAUUGAACUGCUGCCACAGCAGCGACCUGAACCAUUGCAGUGACAACACCAGAUCCUUAACCCACCGCACAAGAGCGCACCCCACCAGUCUUUAAGGUACGUUGCAGGCAUAAGACUUCAUCUACAAAUAGCUCGAAAAAUAAGUUAAUUGCACAAUAUCACCUAAUGUCCAUUUGAGAAAGUCAUGCAGAUCUUCCCCCAGAUGAUGUCUUUGGGUAAGUUAAUUUUCCUCUUUAUGAUGCCGAACUUGGCCUCUGUGCACCAGAUUGAAUCUCAGAGACAGAGUUUUGGGUGAAAUGAUAAAGAACAGCUUUCUACUUUGCCAGGCAAAACUUACAGCAGUAAUGGCCUGAACCUAGCGUAUACCCAGAUUGGGACUUGAACCCAUGGUUUUAAAUUGGAAUCCCUCACCCAGUAUCUGGACUCACCGAGGCUCAGGUUCUUCAUGUCUCUGCACAGAAGGAAUUCAGCGAGAGACAAAGUGAUAGACAAGGAAUAGAUUUAUUAGGCUAGGAUGCUUGUAAGAGGGGCACAUGGGCAGGCAAGGAAGCUCUGCCCCAAGGAUCUGGUGGGCUACAGUUAUGUCAUUCAAGGGGAGUGGGGGUCUGGAAAAGAGCACCUCAUCCUUUCUGGGAGUGCUAGCUCCUCCUUGGUAUCCAGUAAAGUGUAUAUUCAAAUCAGCAGAAGGGUGGUCCUCAAACUCCUGCCCUAGGUCUGAAUCUGAGUACAGGCUUCAUCCCAUCUCCCACCCCCAACCCCCAAACAACCAGAGGCAAUUCUCACACCUCCACUAGUCAAGCAAGCCUGCCUUGUGCUGAUGGCUUUCUUUAGCAAUUUUUAACUGAAGCUGUCUUCCAAAGUCCCCUAAGUUUCCCUUUUUAUCUGUGGUCCCUCAUCAGGACUUUAACUACCUGUGCCUACCAUAUCCCUAUCAAAGGGUUCAAGGAUGGGGUUGCUGAUAUGGAUCAGGGCGUGUGCAGGGUCUGCAUUCCUUUAGUCUAUAGAGAUCAUCUGUCCUCAGGUAGUCUCCUGAUGGGCUUCGGUGGUCUCAAGGUUAUCAAACUGUGACCUUCUCUCUGGAAUGAGCAAUGUUUCAUCAGACAGUUAUCAUCUUCCAUUUGUUGUGGGGCUUCGUUCUGCAGAAGCGCUCAAAGAUACUGUGAGGUAUAUCCCUUGAGGAGGACCCAGGACUCUGCCCCAAGGCUGUCCUUGACUGCUCCUCCUGUGUCUCUGCAUCCCCUCCCUUCCCUGAUUAGCAACUGUUUGAAUCUGCCCUUUGGAAUUCAGGGGAGGUCUUGGAGGCCGGCUGAAGGAGGCCUAUUUUCUACAAACAAGAAAUGGGGGAGAAAGUCUUUCGUGCCCAAGGCUUGUCAAC
rnacentral:lncRNA from 1 species